AGAGUUUGAUCCUGGCUCAGAGCGAACGCUGGCGGCAGGCCUAAACAUGCAAGUCGAACGGAUCCUUCGGGAUUAGUGGCGGACGGGUGAGUAACACGUGGGAACGUGCCUUUUGGUUCGGAACAACUCAGGGAAACUUGAGCUAAUACCGAAUGUGCCCUUCGGGGGAAAGAUUUAUCGCCAUUAGAGCGGCCCGCGUCUGAUUAGCUUGUUGGUGAGGUAAAGGCUCACCAAGGCGACGAUCAGUAGCUGGUCUGAGAGGAUGAUCAGCCACACUGGGACUGAGACACGGCCCAGACUCCUACGGGAGGCGGCAGUUAGGAAUCUUGCGCAAUGGGGGAAACCCUGACGCAGCCAUGCCGCGUGAAUGAUGAAGGUCUUAGGAUUGUAAAAUUCUUUCAGCGGGGACGAUAAUGACGGUACCCGCAGAAGAAGCCCCGGCUAACUUCGUG
rnacentral:rRNA from 1 species